AGGAUGCAAGUGUUAUCCGGAAUCACUGGGCGUAAAGCGUCUGUAGGUGGUUUAAUAAGUCAACUGUUAAAUCUUGAGGCUCAACCUCAAAAUCGCAGUCGAAACUAUUAGGCUAGAGUAUAGUAGGGGUAAAGGGAAUUUCCAGUGGAGCGGUGAAAUGCGUAGAGAUUGGAAAGAACACCGAUGGCGAAGGCACUUUACUGGGCUAUUACUAACACUCAGAGACGAAAGCUAGGGUAGCAAAUGGG
rnacentral:rRNA from 1 species